rnacentral:rRNA from 1 species
GCCUGAUGCCAGCCAUGCCGCGUGAGUGAUGAAGGCCUUAGGGUCGUAAAGCUCUUUCAACGGNGAAGAUAAUGACGGUAGCCGUANAAGAAACCCCGGCUAACUCCGUGCCAGCAGCCGCGGUAAUACGGAGGGGGUUAGCGUUGUUCGGAAUUACUGGGCGUAAAGCGCGCGUAGGCGGAUUGGAAAGUAUGGGGUGAAAUCCCAGGGCUCAACCCUGGAACUGCCUCAUAAACUCCCAGUCUUGAGUUCGAGAGAGGUGAGUGGAACUCCGAGUGUAGAGGUGAAAUUCGUAGAUAUUCGGAAGAACACCACUGGCGAAGGCGGCUCACUGGCUCGAUACUGACGCUGAGGUGCGAAAGUGUGGGGAGCAAACAGGAUUAGAUACCCUGGUAGUCCACACCGUAAACGAUGAAUGCCAGUCGUCGGGUAGCAUGCUAUUCGGUGACACACCUAACGGAUUAAGCAUUCCGCCUGGGGAGUACGGUCGCAAGAUUAAA